UUUAUGGAGAGUUUGAUCCUGGCUCAGGAUGAACGCUGGCGGCGUGCCUAAUACAUGCAAGUCGAGCGAACAGAUAAGGAGCUUGCUCCUUUGACGUUAGCGGCGGACGGGUGAGUAACACGUGGGUAACCUACCUAUAAGACUGGAAUAACUCCGGGAAACCGGGGCUAAUGCCGGAUAACAUGUUGAACCGCAUGGUUCUACAGUGAAAGACGGUCUUGCUGUCACUUAUAGAUGGACCCGCGCCGUAUUAGCUAGUUGGUGGGGUAACGGCCUACCAAGGCGACGAUACGUAGCCGACCUGAGAGGGUGAUCGGCCACACUGGAACUGAGACACGGUCCAGACUCCUACGGGAGGCAGCAGUAGGGAAUCUUCCGCAAUGGGCGAAAGCCUGACGGAGCAACGCCGCGUGAGUGAUGAAGGUCUUCGGAUCGUAAAGCUCUGUUGUUAGGGAAGAACAAAUGUGUAAGUAACUGUGCACAUCUUGACGGUACCUAACCAGAAAGCCACGGCUAACUACGUGCCAGCAGCCGCGGUAAUACGUAGGUGGCAAGCGUUAUCCGGAAUUAUUGGGCGUAAAGCGCGCGUAGGCGGUUUUUUAAGUCUGAUGUGAAAGCCCACGGCUCAACCGUGGAGGGUCAUUGGAAACUGGAAAACUUGAGUGCAGAAGAGGAAAGUGGAAUUCCAUGUGUAGCGGUGAAAUGCGCAGAGAUAUGGAGGAACACCAGUGGCGAAGGCGGCUUUCUGGUCUGCAACUGACGCUGAUGUGCGAAAGCGUGGGGAUCAAACAGGAUUAGAUACCCUGGUAGUCCACGCCGUAAACGAUGAGUGCUAAGUGUUAGGGGGUUUCCGCCCCUUAGUGCUGCAGCUAACGCAUUAAGCACUCCGCCUGGGGAGUACGGUCGCAAGACUGAAACUCAAAGGAAUUGACGGGGACCCGCACAAGCGGUGGAGCAUGUGGUUUAAUUCGAAGCAACGCGAAGAACCUUACCAAAUCUUGACAUCCUUUGACCGCUCUAGAGAUAGAGUUUUCCUCUUCGGAGGACAAAGUGACAGGUGGUGCAUGGUUGUCGUCAGCUCGUGUCGUGAGAUGUUGGGUUAAGUCCCGCAACGAGCGCAACCCUUGAACUUAGUUGCCAUCAUUCAGUUGGGCACU
rnacentral:rRNA from 1 species